rnacentral:rRNA from 1 species
CCUACGGGAGGCAGCAGUGAGGAAUAUUGGUCAAUGGACGAGAGUCUGAACCAGCCAAGUAGCGUGAAGGAUGACUGCCCUAUGGGUUGUAAACUUCUUUUAUAAAGGAAUAAAACGAGGCACGUGUGCCUUUUUGCAUGUACUUUAUGAAUAAGGAUCGGCUAACUCUGGACCAUCAGCCGCGGUAGUACGGGGGAUGCGAGCGUUAUCCGGAUUUAUUGGGUUUAAAGGGAGCGUCGGCGGGCGUUUAAGUCAGCGGUAAAAAUUCGGGGUGCAACCCCGUCCGGCCGUUGAAACUGGGGGCCUGGAGUGGGCGAGAGGAAGGCGGAAUGCGUGGUGUAGCGGUGAAAUGCAUAGAUAUCACGCAGAACCCCGAUUGCGAAGGCAGCCUUCUGGCGCCCUACUGACGCUGAGGCACGAAAGUGCGGGGAUCGAACAGGAUUAGAUACCCGAGUAGUC